rnacentral:tRNA from 1 species
GGGCGUAGCUCAGUUGGUUAGAGCGCCGGCCUGUCACGCCGGAGGCCGCGGGUUCAAGUCCCGUCGCUC